AUCAGCCACGAUGCCACCCUGAACGCACUGAUCUUGUCUGAUUUAGAAGCUAAGCAGGGUCAGUCCUGGUUAGUCCUUAGAAGGAAGACUGCUGGGGGAUACCAGAGAUCCGCUGUAC
rnacentral:rRNA from 1 species